AAAUAAAUCCCAACAUCUUCCACCUUACCGGCCUUGAACAUUGAUAGCUGUUAAAAUGGAAGAUGCUUUGGGAUUUAUUU